GACGAACCGUGCGAACGUUAUUCGGAAUCACUGGGCUUAAAGCGCGUGUAGGCGGGCCGGCACGUCGGUCGCUGAAAGCCCCCGGCUCAACCGGGGAACGGGCGCCGAUACGACCGCCCUGGAGGGACGUAGGGGGACCUGGAACUUCCGGUGGAGCGGUGAAAUGCGUUGAGAUCGGAAGGAACGCCCGUGGCGAAGGCGGCUACCUGGACCAGCACUGACACUGAGGCACGAAAGCGUGGGGAGCAAACAGG
rnacentral:rRNA from 1 species